rnacentral:snoRNA from 1 species
CCCGCCACUGUACCUGCCCAAUUACAGCCGUGGCUUGUACAUUCCAGUGGUGAGCUAAGAGAACUCCCCAGUCAAGGAAACAGGGUUAUUCUCUCCGUGGGUAACUCUGUGCCGAAGACUGGGAACAAAA